CGGGAGUAACGCGUGGGUAACCGUGCCUCAUACAGGGGGAUAACAGUUGGAAACGGCUGCUAAUACCGCAUAAGCGCACAGUGCUGCAUGGCACAGUGUGAAAAACUCCGGUGGUAUGAGAUGGACUCGCGUCUGAUUAGCUAGUUGGUGGGGUAACGACCUACCAAGGCGACGAUCAGUAGCCGGCCUGAGAGGGUGAACGGCCACAUUGGGACUGAGACACGGCCCAA
rnacentral:rRNA from 1 species